rnacentral:rRNA from 1 species
CCAGCAGCCGCGGUAAUACGUAGGGUGCAAGCGUUAAUCGGAAUUACUGGGCGUAAAGCGUGCGCAGGCGGUUUUGUAAGACAGUGGUGAAAUCCCCGGGCUCAACCUGGGAACUGCCAUUGUGACUGCAAGGCUAGAGUGCGGCAGAGGGGGAUGGAAUUCCGCGUGUAGCAGUGAAAUGCGUAGAUAUGCGGAGGAACACCGAUGGCGAAGGCAAUCCCCUGGGCCUGCACUGACGCUCAUGCACGAAAGCGUGGGGAGCAAACAGGAUUAGAUACCCUGGUAGUCAAGGGCG